GGUCAAGCUACUAAGGGCGCACGGAGGAUGCCUUGGCACCAAAGGCCGAUGAAGGGCGUGGCAAGACUGCGAUAAGCCCCGGUUUGCUGUCUAGCAAGCUCACCCGGGGAUACCCGAAUGAGGUAACUCAUCCCGACUUGUCGGGAUACUCGACCCGUGAGGGUUGAGAGGUAAGUGGGCGAACUGAAACAUCUCAGUAGCCCGAGGAACAGAAAUCAACCGAGAUUCUCCUAGUAGUGGCGAACGAACGGGGAAGAGCCUAAACCACCGCGGCUUCACGGGCUGGAGCCCCAUGCCCGGUGGUGUCGUAAGGCGUGAUGUGGAGGGACUCCAGUCCUUCCGGAGAGUAAGAAACCAGUUUCCUAGCAGAAGAACGCUGGAAAGCUUCGCCAUAGACGGUGAAAGCCCGGUAGGCGAAAGGGAGCUGGCUCUCUGGUCAUGUCCUUGAGUACGACGGGACACGUGGAAUCCUGUCGGAAUUCGCGGGGCCCACCCUGCAAGGCUAAACACCUUUGGUGACCGAUAGCGUACAAGUACCGUGAGGGAAAGGUGAAAAGAACCCCGUGAGGGGAGUGAAAUAGAACUGAAACCGUGCGCCUACAAACCGUGGAAGUCCCGACUUGUCGGGAUGACCGCGUGCCUAUUGAAGAAUGAGCCGGCGAGUCAAUUCUGCGCAGCCAGGUUAAGGUAUUAAGUACCGGAGCCGUAGCGAAAGCGAGUCUGAACAGGGCGAAAACCACCUCUGGAGGAAGCAGUCGCCAGUGUGCCUAGUGAAGGCCUGAAGUCCCAACGCAAGGCGGGAUGGAUGGCUGGAGCGAAGCGCAAUGGUCGGCUGUGAAAUCCUUUGCGUGAGGGUUGCGUGGAUUGGACCCGAAACCGUGUGAGCUACCCAUGGUCAGGCUGAAGCGAAGCUAACCCUUCGUGGAGGGCCGAACUGAUCAGUGUUGCAAAACUGUCGGAAGAACUGUGGGUAGGGGUGAAAUGCCAAACGAACACGGAGAUAGCUGGUUCUCCCCGAAAUGCAUAUAGGUGCAGCCUCGGGAGUUACAUCGCGGAGGUAGAGCACUCGAUGGGCUAGGGGGCGUGAGCUUACCAAACCCAACGAAACUCCGAAUGCCGCGAUGGGUACCCCGGGAGUGAGACUGCGAGGGAUAAGCUUCGUGGUCUAAAGGGAAACAACCCAGAUCGCCAGCUAAGGUCCCCAAAUAUGGACUAAGUGUGAAAGGAAGUUGGAUCGCUCAGACAGCCAGGAGGUUGGCUUAGAAGCAGCCACCCUUUAAAGAGUGCGUAAUAGCUCACUGGUCGAGGGAUCCAGCGCCGAAAAUAAGCGGGGCUAAAGUCCAUUACCGAAGCUGCGGGAUCUCGACGUGAAGUCGGGAUCGGUAGGGGAGCGUUCUCAGGGGUGCGAAGGUGGAUCGUAAGGUCUGCUGGACCGCUGAGAAGUGAGAAUGCCGGCAUAAGUAGCGACAAUCCAGGUGAGAAUCCUGGACACCGGAAGUCUGAGGUUUCCUACGCAACGUUGAUCGGCGUAGGGUUAGGCGGCCCUAAGGCGUAGCCGAAAGGCGAACCCGAUGGACAGCUGGUCAAAAUUCCAGCUCCGCUGAUGAACCGUUUGAGAUACAUGGGGGGAGCGGGCAGGUAGGCGUUGCAUACCUAUUGGACAUGGUGUGUGCGCCCUUGAAGGCCGCAAGGCUGAGGGGGGUGCGAACCCUGAGGGAAUACCUCGGGGGACGAAGCUGAACCUAGACCGCCAAGAAAAGCCCGUGUAUCGAGGCUCAUUGGUUGACCGUACCGCAAACCGACACAGGUGGACUGGGGCUAAAAUCCCAAGGUGAACGAGAGAACCAUCGUUAAGGAACUCGGCAAUCUAGCCCCGUAACUUAGGGAGAAGGGGCGCCCUCGAUGUCUCAGGCUUCGCGCCAAAAGGCGUCGGGGGCCGCAGUGACAAGGCUCAAGUGGCUGUUUAACAAAAACACAGGUCCGUGCUAAGGCGAAAGCCGAUGUAUACGGGCUGACAUGUGCCCAGUGCCGGAAGGUUAAGGGGAGGGGUUUACGCCUCGAACUGAAGCCCCGGUGAACGGCGGCCGUAACUAUAACGGUCCUAAGGUAGCGAAGUCCCUUGUCGGGUAAGUUCCGACCCGCACGAAACAUGUAACAACUUGAGCGCUGUCUCGACGGUGGACUCGGUGAAAUUGCAGGACCCGUGAAGAUGCGGGUUUCCCGCGGCAGGACAAAAAGACCCCGUGGAGCUUUACUGCACCCUGGCAUUGGUUCGUGGUUAAGGAUGUGUAGGAUAGGCGGGAGGCUACGAAGGUUCGGCGCUAGCCGAGCUGGAGCCAACGGUGAAAUACCGCCCUUCCUUUGCCUUGACCCUAACCCCGAUUAAUCGGGGAACAGUGUCUGGCGGGCAGUUUGACUGGGGCGGUCGCCUCCCAAAGAGUAACGGAGGCGCCCAAAGGUCACCUCAGGCUGGAUGGAAAUCAGCCGCAGAGUGUAUUGGCAUAAGGUGGCUUGACUGCGAGACAUACAAGUCGAGCAGGGACGAAAGUCGGGCAAAGUGAUCCCACGGUACCGCGUGGCAGGGCCGUGGCUUAACGGAUAAAAGCUACCCCGGGGAUAACAGGCUGAUCUCGCCCAAGAGUUCACAUCGACGGCGAGGUUUGGCACCUCGAUGUCGGCUCGUCGCAUCCUGGGGCUGAAGGCGGUCCCAAGGGUCCGGCUGUUCGCCGGUUAAAGCGGCACGCGAGCUGGGUUCAGAGCGUCGUGAGACAGCUCGGUCUCUAUCCGCCGUGGGCGCAGGAAACUUGAGGGAUGCCACUCUUAGUACGAGAGGACCAGAGCGGACAGACCUCUGGUGUGCCGGUUGUUACGCCAGUAGCAUCGCCGGGUAGCCAAGUCUGGAUGGGAUAAGCGCUGAAAGCAUCUAAGUGCGAAGCCCUGCCCAAGAUCAGGUUUCCCAUCGCGCAAGCGAGUAAGGUCCCCGGUAGACUACCGGGUAGAUAGGCCGCAGGUGUAAGGCUGGUAACAGCUUGAGCUGAGCGGUACUAAUAGACCGAGGGCUUGACCCA
rnacentral:rRNA from 1 species